rnacentral:rRNA from 1 species
AUAGCGUAUAUUUAAGUUGUUGCAGUUAAAAAGCUCGUAGUUGGAUUUCGGGCGGGCCCGGCCGGUCCGCCUUCGGGUGUGCACUGACCGGGCCCGUCUUGUUGCCGGGGACGGGCUCCUGGGCUUCACUGUCCGGGACUCGGAGUCGGCGAGGUUACUUUGAGUAAAUUAGAGUGUUCAAAGCAGGCCUACGCUCUGAAUACAUUAGCAUGGAAUAACACGAUAGGACUCUGGCCUAUCUUGUUGGUCUGUGGGACCGGAGUAAUGAUUAAGAGGGACAGUCGGGGGCAUUCGUAUUUCAUUGUCAGAGGUGAAAUUCUUGGAUUUAUGAAAGACGAACUACUG